rnacentral:rRNA from 1 species
GGGUUGUGAGGUUAAGCGACUAAGCGUACACGGUGGAUGCCCUGGCAGUCAGAGGCGAUGAAGGACGUGCUAAUCUGCGAUAAGCGUCGGUAAGGUGAUAUGAACCGUUAUAACCGGCGAUUUCCGAAUGGGGAAACCCAGUGUGUUUCGACACACUAUCAUUAACUGAAUCCAUAGGUUAAUGAGGCGAACCGGGGGAACUGAAACAUCUAAGUACCCCGAGGAAAAGAAAUCAACCGAGAUUCCCCCAGUAGCGGCGAGCGAACGGGGAGCAGCCCAGAGCCUGAAUCAGUGUGUGUGUUAGUGGAAGCGUCUGGAAAGGCGCGCGAUACAGGGUGACAGCCCCGUACACAAAAAUGCACAUGCUGUGAGCUCGAUGAGUAGGGCGGGACACGUGGUAUCCUGUCUGAAUAUGGGGGGACCAUCCUCCAAGGCUAAAUACUCCUGACUGACCGAUAGUGAACCAGUACCGUGAGGGAAAGGCGAAAAGAACCCCGGCGAGGGGAGUGAAAAAGAACCUGAAACCGUGUACGUACAAGCAGUGGGAGCCUCUUUUAUGGGGUGACUGCGUACCUUUUGUAUAAUGGGUCAGCGACUUAUAUUCUGUAGCAAGGUUAACCGAAUAGGGGAGCCGAAGGGAAACCGAGUCUUAACUGGGCGUUAAGUUGCAGGGUAUAGACCCGAAACCCGGUGAUCUAGCCAUGGGCAGGUUGAAGGUUGGGUAACACUAACUGGAGGACCGAACCGACUAAUGUUGAAAAAUUAGCGGAUGACUUGUGGCUGGGGGUGAAAGGCCAAUCAAACCGGGAGAUAGCUGGUUCUCCCCGAAAGCUAUUUAGGUAGCGCCUCGUGAA